rnacentral:lncRNA from 1 species
AUGGCAAGUCUGAAGAAGGAGGUGAUGGGAAUUAUUUGGCAUUGGCUGGCAUCGUGGCCUGGGAGGAGAAGGCAGGGAUUCGAUCAACUGAUAUGGAAUUGGGAUGAUGUAGUUAGAGGAGUAGUAGGACCUGUUAUUUCCUAGCAUGGGUGUCCCUUCCAUAAGUGGUGCUUUUGUCACUUGUGAUGUUUUUUGUAACAUUUUUGUUACUUCUUAAUAAAAUCUUACUUAUCAAAAAAAAAAA